AACUUGUGAUAUGGACAAAUAUUUAUCAGAUCCUUGAACCUCUCCCAGCAAGCCCAAAAAUUCUCAUCACUCUUCUGCAUAAACUAAGAUAUGUUCCUGCAAAAAUU